rnacentral:rRNA from 1 species
AGUGAACGCUGGCGGUAGGCCUAACACAUGCAAGUCGAACGGCAGCACAGUAAGAGCUUGCUCUUACGGGUGGCGAGUGGCGGACGGGUGAGGAAUACAUCGGAAUCUACUUUCUCGUGGGGGCUAACGUAGGGAAACUUACGCUAAUACCGCAUACGACCUACGGGUGAAAGCAGGGGAUCUUCGGACCUUGCGCGAUUGAAUGAGCCGAUGUCGGAUUAGCUAGUUGGCGGGGUAAAGGCCCACCAAGGCGACGAUCCGUAGCUGGUCUGAGAGGAUGAACAGCCACACUGGAAGUGAGACACGGUCCAGACUCCUACGGGAGGCAGCAGUGGGGAAUAUUGGACAAUGGGCGAAAGCCUGAUCCAGCCAUACCGCGUGAGUGAAGAAGGCCUUCGGGUUGUAAAGCCCUUUUGUUGGGAAAGAAAAGCAGCAGGUUAAUACCCCGCUGUUCUGACGGUACCCAAAGAAUAAGCACCGGCUAACUUCGUG